rnacentral:rRNA from 1 species
CCUACGGGUGGCAGCAGUGAGGAAUAUUGGUCAAUGGACGAGAGUCUGAACCAGCCAAGUAGCGUGAAGGAUGACUGCCCUAUGGGUUGUAAACUUCUUUUAUAUGGGAAUAAAAUGUUCCACGUGUGGGAUUUUGUAUGUACCAUAUGCAUAAGGAUCGGCUAACUCCGUGCCAGCAGCCGCGGUAAUAAGGAGGAUCCGAGCUUUAUCCGGAUUUAUUGGGUGUAAAGGGAGCGUAGGUGGAUUGUUAAGUCAGUUGUGAAAGUUUGCGGCGCAACCGUAAAAUUGCAGUUGAAACUGGCAGUCUUGAGUACAGUAGAGGUGGGCGGAAUUCGUGGUGUAGCGGUGAAAUGCUUAGAUAUCACGAAGAACUCCGAUUGCGAAGGCAGUUCACUGGACUGCAACUGACACUGAGGCUCGAAAGUGUGGGUAUCAAACAGGAUUAGAGACCCUAGUAGUC